rnacentral:rRNA from 1 species
AAUCUUCCACAAUGGGCGAAAGCCUGAUGGAGCAACGCCGCGUGAGUGAAGAAGGUUUUCGGAUCGUAAAACUCUGUUGUAAGGGAAGAACAAGUACAGUAGUAACUGGCUGUACCUUGACGGUACCUUAUUAGAAAGCCACGGCUAACUACGUGCCAGCAGCCGCGGUAAUACGUAGGUGGCAAGCGUUGUCCGGAAUUAUUGGGCGUAAAGCGCGCGCAGGCGGUCCUUUAAGUCUGAUGUGAAAGCCCACGGCUCAACCGUGGAGGGUCAUUGGAAACUGGGGGACUUGAGUGCAGAAGAGGAAAGUGGAAUUCCAAGUGUAGCGGUGAAAUGCGUAGAGAUUUGGAGGAACACCAGUGGCGAAGGCGACACGCUGGGCCUGGCCUGACGCUCAGACGCGAAAGCAUGGGGAGCGAACGGG